rnacentral:rRNA from 1 species
GGUUACCUCAGGUCAGAGAAGACUACCCGCUGGACUUAAGCAUAUCACUAAGCGGAGGAAAAGAAACUAACUAGGAUUCCCCCAGUAACUGCGAGUGAAGAGGGAAGAGCUCAUCAUUGGAAUCUGGCGGUGUUGCACCGUCCGAGUUGUAGAUGAGGAGUGGUUCGUCUGGACUGCAUGGCGUCCAAGUACAAUAGGCCGUCARUGGGACAUCAUAGAGGGUGACAAUCCCGUCCUUGAUGCCAAUGUGCAAGUCCAUUACGAUGGCCAUCUCAGAGAGUCGAGCAGUUUGGGAUUUGCUGCUUAAACAUGGGAGGUAGAUUCCUUCUAAAGCUAAAUACAGGCAAGAGACCGAUAGAGAACAAGUACCGCAAGGGAAAGAUGAAAUAGCACUCUGUGAAGGGAGUCAAAAGGCGUGAAAUUGUUGCGAGAGAAGCKAUUCAAGUCAGCGUAGCUAGGCCCAUUAAGCCUCUUUGCGCUUUGGACUAGCUUUGCCAGCGGUCUUGUCCUUAGAGACUUGACUUGUAUGUCCAGCCUGGUAUGCACAGGUAGCCCUCCGGGGUCAGUGACAUGGCUGGUGGAAUGGCUUGCAAUCGACCCGUCUUGAAACACGGACCAAGGMGUCUAACAUGUAUGCGAGUAUAAGGGUGGCAAACCCGUAUGCGCAAUGAAAGUGAUUUUCGGUGAUUGAGAAUGGCCUGAUGACCAGACAAGCAAUAUAUGUCCCUCGUACGGCCAUUGCCCAAGUUCCGUGGUAGAUCCCACGAACAUGGAGUUGGAGCAUACAUGCUAGGACCCGAAAGAUGGUGAACUAUGCCUGGACAAAGCGAAGCCAAAGGAAACUCUKGUGGAGGCUUGUAGCGAUUCUGAYGUGCAAAUCGAUCGUCUGAU